rnacentral:lncRNA from 1 species
GUUCAUGGUAAUUUUUUUAUAAAGAUUCACACUUGACAUUGAUAUGAAAAAAAUAUGUUCAUCUUUGUUCGUAACAAGGCUAGCCGUUUCAGCUUUUUUUUAAAUGCUGCUUUUUACAUGUAAUGGAAUGUUUUCUCAUUGUAGUAAAUGUACAAAGCAAAAUAUUUUUUUCAUGAUUCUAAUUAAUGAUAUUAAGUCCCCAUCUAUCAAUAGCAGUCUCGAGAAGGACAAAAGGUUUUAUGAUUUUUUUUAAAUAUUUCAUUUUCAUCUAUAGUACUUCCUUGCUUCAUAACCUCAUAUGCAUUAAAGUAAAAUUAUUUAAAUGCUGAACCCUCCAAGGUUAAUUCCAAACAGAAAGUCCCUAGUAAAAUGGCAAAAUCAAAAGCUAAAACACAUCAAAUGAAUGGACAGCAACUGUCAUAUUCCUGACAUGGUACAUCACACUCAAAGCCAAAUAAUAACUGUCACCCAUUAUAGGCUCGAGUGCAAUCAACGGCCUUAUACAACAAUCAUCUAAUUAACCAGUGCAUGAGCUCAACAUAAGAAAUGAAACCAGUUGAUUAGAACUUGUAUGAAUAUCGGUUAUAUCAAAACUUUUCAGAAAGACCUAUACAACAAUAAAUACGUCAAUUUAUUAACAUACAUUAAAGGUAUACAGUCAAACUACAAUUAUGUAUAUGUUUACAUUAUUUAUCUUUCUAUUUUAGUUGGUAUAGGGUUAGGGAAGCAACUGAAGAAGAUUGAUUGACAGUGGUUUGAGAACAAUGAGGCAUAAUGUAAUUGAAGCUUUAAUAAAAUAAAUGAAAUAAUUGGAGUCAGUAGACUUAUUAAUUGCAUUGAAUCUAAUGACUUAU